UCAUUUCACCCAACACAUUCACUCAUUACAACCACCCAACACAUUCACUUACCACUACAUCCACUAAUUUCACCCAACACAUCCAUUCACCUACAACUACAUCCACUCAUUUCACCCAACACAUCCACUCAUUUCAACCACCCAACACAUUCACCUACCACUACAUCCACUCAUUACCACCACCCACUACAUCCUCUCCCUAGCCUAUAAAUAUAUCCAUCCAAAGACACAUUUAGGGAGACUGUUUUGGGAGAAGGGAGGAAGACACAUUCUGCCGCAAGGCAGAGUCUUUUCUUCUUAACCAUUCUACACAUUCCCACAACAAAAACACAAUUCCAUGCACCUUCAUUUCCCUUUCCUUGCCGUGACCUCCAUCCAACCUAAACACAUUCAGCCAUUCCCUUCUAUAUAUCUAUAUGCAUCCAUCAAACCACACCUUGUGCCGCAACAAAGAGAAGAAGCAGGACCCUUGGACGUGCUUGCCAUUCAAGUUGGAUUGUUGGAGCGUUUUUAGGUGUUUUCAUUCUUUUGUUUUCAAUGUCUAAAUUUAUUUAUGUUUGCUUUAUGAGUAUGAGGAACUAAACCCCCCUUAGCUAGGGGGGAAUUCAAAGCCAUGAACACACUUGCAAUAUGAAUUGAUUACCUUCAGGUUUGAUUUCAUAAGUUGUGAAUUCAAUUUGUUUAAUUGCUUGAUUGAUAACUUAUUCGUGUAUGUUUAUUAAGAGUGCACACUUAGUUUGCAUGCAUGAAUAUGAUGCUAGAGUAUAAGGGAGUUUCACCUAAUAGUUACAAACUUAUAUUCACAAGUAGUGGAGGUCGCUUAUAAACGAUCGCAUUAAAUGAAUUCUUGGCAGGAGUUUCAUGCUCAUCAUAGUAACGAAUGCCUCGUCAAUACUUAUAGUUUUCAUAGUGCUUAAUGAUCUUUGAUUGUAUCUUUAUUGUGUUAUUCACGAAAAGGACUUUUGAAGAAUGCUUGAAUUGUUGUAUGCGCUUUCCUAUCCAAUUCAAUAACUUAAGGAGAACUUGAAGGUUAAUUUAAGCGGACUUAAUUAACCUGGGGUGUUGAGUUUCAUGAUUUAUCGAAAGAAUAAUUGAAAAUUGGUUUAUGUGCAAGUGUGUCAUGUGUGGAGAAGAACCCUCUAGCUAGCCCAUCAUCCAUAGUUUACCCAAAUUCGUCCAAAAUCUGUUUUAGUUUACAAUAUGUUUGUUUUGUUUUCAAAUUCAUCAAAAUCAAACCCCUCCUUACUUUAAAGUGUUUUAUUAGUCAAAAUUUGUUAUGAUUUGUGUUUUUAAGUGUCUUGAGUCAAGUUAGAACCUAAUUUUGUCCAAAACCAUCCCUAGAGUCAGUUUAGAGUCUAAUUCAUUGUUUUAAGCUGUUUUGUGUCUUUUUAGUUUGUAUUGCAUCUUUUGAGUCUAGUUUGGUGUUUUAACUUACUUUUAUGUUUUUAAGUCAGUUUAGAGGUUAUUAGCAAGCCCUCCUAAUCCCCGGUCCAGAACGAUCCAUACUUACAUUCUUUACUACAAUUGAUACAUGAGGGUUUAAUUUGUGUGUUAAGUAAAAUUCGCACCAAAUUUUUGGCGCCGUUGUCGGGGAUUAGCAACUUUGCUAAUCCCUUGUUAUUUCUUUUUGUAUAUUUUCGUGUCUUUUGUUUUUAGUUACUGACUUUGUUUAUGUUUGUGUUUUUUUUUUGUUUGUUUUACUUUUGAUAUUUGAUUUAGUUUUGUUUCCUUGAUUUCAGGUACUAGAGAAGUAAGACAUGGAUUUUGCUACCAUUCAAGCUCAAUUGGCGAAACUUACUUCUCAAUUGUCACAAUAUCCCGAAAGGACCACAAUGCAAAGUGUCCCUACAUAUGGUGUGUCCUAUGGGCAAGGAUAUCCAACUCAUCAAUGUUCUCAAUUCGCUGCGAAUGAAGAUGCUUGGGGUUAUCAAGGCCAUAACCAAUCAUGGGACAACAUGUUUUCCAACGCUUACAAUUCAGAUUGGAGAGAUUAUUCAGAUUACAUGUGGGGAAAACCUCAACAAUUCCAACAAGAUGGAUAUUGGCAGCAAGAAGAGGAGUUCUAUUCAAGACCUAUGCAGCCACCACAACCUCUUCCACAACAAUUCCAAUCAAAUUCAAGUAUGCCUAUGAGUUAUGAUGAAAUUCUUGAUGUACUAACCUCGUUGACGCAGAGCUCACAACAAGAAGAAUAUUUGCCGCCAUCGGAUGAGUUCUAUCACUGGCCAUAUGAACCAUCACAGCCACCACAACAAUCUGCCCAAUUCAAUUCAGGUACGUCUUUGGAUAAUGAUAUGUUUAAUAAGUUACUCACCUCUUUGAACCAGGAAGUAGAAAAUCGAAACAAAGAGAUACAAAAUCAAGCUAAGAAGACGGAUGAAUUGGAGAAGCAAAUUGGGCAGAUUAUGAAGUUCAUGGCACAAAUUCAAGAGCAAAGUGAACUCUCCAACUCAACUAUUGAAAAUUUGAACGAAGAUUUUGAAAUCCAUGAUGCUAUCACUUUGGGAAGUGCUAUGGAGGUUGGAGGUGAACCCAAGACAUCCAAACAAAGCCAAAACAUGGAUGAACAGCUGCUGCUCGAAGAAGAGGAGAAUAACAAAGCCACGACAAGGGAAGAACCACCCUUGCCGCAGCCCCAUAUGCCCUCUAUGCCAUCCACUACAACCAAGGUAAGCCUAAAUUCAAUUUGUCCUGACCCCGUUUCACUAAAUGUCCUUAUUCCUUGCAGGAUCAUGCAAUCCAAGGAAGAAGAGGGUGAGAAAGGCAUCUUCGAAACCUUUCCAAAGAAUCAAGAGCAAGAAGUGGAUGAGGAAUGUCUAAAAUUCAUCAAAGAAGAUACACUUGAGACGAAAAUUCCCAAAGAAGUUGGAUUUUAUGACAUGGGAAAAGUCAUAACUCUCAAAACACCAAAUCUGGCCAAGUCCCAUAUCCCUGAUGUGGUGUUCGUAAUUGAGUUUGUGUUGGAGCAAGCAAGUAAGCCAUUUCUCCAACUUCGAUUUUAUUAUAUACUAACUUGCUGAUUUUGAUGAUUCAGGCACCUACACUAGAAUUUAAACCAUUGCCGGAUCACGUCAAGUAUCACCUUCCAUUCAAGGAUCAAUUCCAUGCUAUGGGCCCUAUCCAAGUUUAGAAAGAAGUUUCGUCAAGCUGGAAGACGUUAAAGCAAGCGCUUCUUGGGAGGCAACCCAUGUAUUCAAAUAAGGAAGAUUUUUGAAUUGCUCCACGAUUGGUUUUGCGUUCCUAAAAACCUUCCAUUUUCUGCAGUUUUAUUUUGCCAUGAUUGUCAUUUUUAUUUGUUGCUUGUUUAAUUGUUUUUGGUGUGGGUUUAUUUUUGAAACAUUGACAGAUAUGCAAGGUAUUUUACAUUUAUUUUCAUAAAAAAAGGGAACAUUAAGCAGAAAAAUACAAGAGAGAGCCUUCACAAAGGCUGCUUAGGAGAAGUAUCAGUAGUCGGCAGAGCCUUAGCAGUCGGCGGAGCCCCAGAAGGAGGAGGCAUCAGAGGUUGAUCAUUUGGAGCUUCAUUACGCGGUACAGCCCCAGAAGACGAAGGCAAAUGCUGUUGGAAAAAACCCACAAACCUCUGAUGAUCAAGUAAAAUUUGACCAUCAGAUUCCUGCAUCUGGUCAAUCUUCCUCUUCAUGUUUGUAGCAUAGUUAUGUGCGAGCAUGUGCAACUGUUUAUUCUCAUGAUUGAGCCCUCUAAUCUCCUAUUUGAGACUCAUCACUUCAGCCGACAAUGAUUCAACUUGACGGGUUCGAGCAAAUAGACGUUGGGCCAUAUUGGACACAGAACUUGCACACUGCACACUGAGAGCCAGAGAAUCCUUAACAGCCAACUCAUUAGAUCGUUUGAAAAGUAGUCUAUUAUCUUUGGGAGUGACAAGGUUCCGGGCCACCACUACAGCGGUUAUAUCAUUCUUCAUUACUGAAUCCCCAACGGUAAGAGGACCAGUAGGGGAUAUGAAGGAUGGGCGCCAUAUGUUGUCUGGAGAAGGCAUGGAUGCCUCUUCACCAAGGUUCAAGUCAAAACAACGGUCGGAAGGGCCAGACAUUUUCAAAAGGUCGAAAAGUCAAGAUCGUAGAAGUGCAAGAAGGGAGUUUCUACAAGCAGAAAUUCAAGUGUGCGUUGAAACGUACUACAUACCUCUAUAAAAAUCAGCACUCGACGGGAUUUCAGAGAUCGAAGAGGCGAGCUCAGAAAUUGAAGAGGCCAAUUCAAAAAUCGAAUAGGCGCUAGCUUUCUCAAAAGUUGGGCUUGCUCAGAAACCACGGGCCAAUCUUCUUUUCCAGAUUUGUUCGCACUUGUCACAUGCAACCUCUGCACUCGACGGAGCUCAGAACUCGAAGAGGCGAGCUCAGAACUCGAAGAGGCAAGCUCAGAAAUCGGAGAGGCAUCUGCUUUUCCAGAUGUGUCAGCUUCUGUCAUAUACACACUCAGCUUUGCAGAAAUCACGGGCAGUUUGUCGAAGCGCCGAUUUCAGAUAUCGAAAAGGCAUCAACUUUAUCUAGACGUGUCAGCGCCUGUCACAUACACACUCAGCUUUGCGGAAAUCACGGGCAGUUUGUUGAAGCACCGAUUCCAGAUAUCGAAGAGGCAUCAACUUUAUCCAAACGUGUCAGCAUCUGUCACAUACACACUCAGCCUUGCGGAAAUUACGGGCAAUCUGUUGAAGAUUUUUGGUGAAGUAGAAAGCACGUGAAGUUUACUGUUCAAUCAUCCAACAGUUGUCGACAAGAGUGAAAGAAUAGUACCGGUUAUUAUUUCCUAUAAAUGUUGACCUUCACCCUCCAUAGCAAGGCAGACAUACAUAACCUUCCGUCAUCUCCGAGAAUGCCUUCCUAAUGAAGCCUCUCGAGUCACUCAGUGUUCCUUAUUCCUUGGGGUACCUCUAUAAACAACUCAUCCAAAGCAAAAGUAUUUCAUAUCAUGAAGGUUGAAAGCAAGAGUAUCUCAUAUCAUGCUUUCUCCCUAUCCUUCUCAUUGUCGUUGUUUUCAUCUGUGGGACAAGGAGAAAUAGAGCAAUCAGCCAGCACUUGGUAUCAAUCUUCCGAUCUGGAACCGACUGCCUGGAACCCCUUCCUGAUUGCUUACCUAGUCCUGCUCUCGAGUACUCAUCUUCAACAUCUUAUGCUUCUAAUUCGUCUACCACAUCUGCCUGGGGAACAAAUAAGGGAAGUGAAAAUGAUACCUCGAAGCAUGUGGAGACAAUGUGCUAAUUCAUCCUCAGCUAUGGACAAGGAGAAAGAAAGCAAGAGGUGGGCACUUGGAAAGAUUGAAGAAAUAAACAGACCAUCACCUCUACCUCGUGCCUGCCUGCCGUGCAGAAGAAACAAGCAGAGAAGAAUGCAGACUGCACAAUCAAAUAAACCCAGCAGAAUGAGUCUGAUUUGAAACCAAGGAACUCUCACUCAGAAUUCUGAACCAGUUCGAGAUCAAAGCUGUGGAAAGACAACAAGAUCAUCUAUCUCCAAAACCAGAUUUGCGUUCUUAAACUCUACUCUGUCUGGUUUUUACUUUGCCAUACUUGUCAUGUUUAUUCGUUGUUUGUUUGAUUGUUUGCUUGUGUUUGUGUGAGUUUAUGCUUGAAACAUUGAGGACAAUGUUCGAUUUAAGUGUAGGGGGUAACCAAGUUGUUUUGCAUGAAAUUCGUGGGAGUUUAUCACCCAUUACUUCUAAGUGUUGUUCCUUGCUGUUUUUAAGUGUUUUUAAGCUGUUUUGAAGUGCUUUAGUGUGUUUUGACAUAAAAAUCCGAAAAUCUCAUAAAAAUUUGAAAAAUUGUUUUGAAAAACCCAAAAAGAGUUGUUUUUGUGUGUUUGUUUGUGUCUUAGGGUACCUUCCAACACAAUGAUGAGGAUUUGGUUUUUAAUUACAUGACUGUUAAAGAGAGUUAUAAACAUGGAUGAAAAUUUGAUUUACUCUUUGGUGUAUGCUUGGUUGUGGUUAUAAUUUAUGAAUUCACAUGCAAUCAUAAAGGAAAAAUCAGUUUUUGUAACAUGCUUGAAAGAAGGACCUCAAAUGAACGCUACAACCUUGUGAGACUUGAGCCUAAACGUUUAUUUGGAGAGUUAAUAAUUUGUGCAUCAUUGUUUUCUAAAGUCGUUGCAUGAUCUCAUUAUUCUUUGCUUGGUUGCUACUUAGAAGGCGUUUCAUCAUUUAGUUCCAAAUGCUAGAACUCAUGCCUAUUUCAUUCAAAGCAUGUUAUUGAUUUGCAUAACACAUAUUCAAGAUGAAGUUGUGUAGUGACCACCAAAGCCAAAUUGCCGUGCCCCUAUUUCAUUAUGUGUUUAAGUUUAACCCCGUUGAGCCUUGUUAAGCCUAUGUUCUUUGUUAACCCACACUAUCCUUACCUAGCCUAGUGUUAGGACCAUCCAUACCCUUGUUCUUGAAGCAUAGUAAAGCAUGACUUAAAAUGAACUCCUUUUUUUAUCAAUGUAUUGCAGAAAGCAAGUGUGGGGGAAGUGAUUCUUGUGUGUGUGUGUGUGUGUGUGCCAAAGUCCUUAAUAAGGCACGGGUAGAAAAGAAAAAAAAAAGAAUUGAAAAAAAAAAGUAUGAAAAGAGCUCUAAAGUGUUGUUUGUUAAAGAAAGGGUUCAAAACAUUGAAUUCGGCCCUAAGUGUUGCAUAAAUGUUCCCUUUGUAAUUAAAAGUUGAUUCUGCAUUCUAAAGUGAUUUCCAAGUGUCUAUUUCAUUGCUUUGCUUGCUAUCGCUUUAAGAACGUUUGUUAUCCCUAUUCUUUCUUUGUUAGCCAUUACCCCCAAGCCCUGUUACAUCCCUUGACUUCAAUCUUGAGUGUUGUGUGUUUCAAUUUGUGGAGUUCGAAAUUGGUAUGAGCAUAUGGUGUCACUGGUUCUCGCAUCUAAGUCGUAGCAUUCCAUUCAUGAGAUCAUAUCUAAACAUGCUUAAUAACUCCAGAAAAUUACUUUCUUUGUUAUAACAUAUGUGAGUCCUAAUCUUUCAUGUUUACAUCAAUCUUCUCACAUAUACUAGUAUAGGGUGUGUAGUCAGAAAAUGUGUGUGAAAAUAGAGAGUAUCUUGUAAGGAAUUGAGCAAAUUCUCUAAGGCAUGUUACUACAUUCAAAACAUUGUUUUAAUUGGUUAAUUGUAAACUAGUAAGUGGUGACUGUGAUUAAGUAUGUGCUCAAGUGUAAGGAUGACCAAAAUAUAUGGGAAUGAUGAUUUUUAACACAUCAUGUUUCAUUAAAAAUCCCUGAGGCAAUUGUUGGAAGGUCUAUGUUGUGUUUUGUUUUGUUUUGUUUUGCUCGAGGACUAGCAAAAGCUAAGUGUGGGGGAAUUUGAUAGGAGCAUAUUUAUGCGACUUAGUUAGCUUGUUUCUUGGCAUUUAUGUUGUUAGUUCGUAGUUAUUUUAGUAUUUUAAGCUAUUUUCGUGUGUUUGUAGGUCCAAAGGGUUAAUGUGGCAAAGAAGUGCAUUUUGGAGCAUUUUUGGGCAUGGAAUGGAUAGCACAUGCUUGGAGCAAAAGGAAUGGACGAAAUUUGAAGUUUGUGCAUCAUCCUCUCCCUAUAAAUAACCAUUUUAGCACACUCAUUUCACCCAACACAUCCACUCAUUACAACCACCCAACACAUUCACCUACCACUACAUCUACUCAUUUCACCCAACACAUCCAUUCACCUACCAUUACAUCCACUCAUUUCACCCAACACAUCCACUCAUUACAACCACCCAACACAUUCACCUACCACUACAUCCACUAAUUUCACCCAACAUAUCCAUUCACCUACCACUACAUCCACUCAUUUCACCCAACACAUCCACUCAUUUCACCCAACACAUUCACCUACCACUACAUCCACUCAUUACCACCACCCACUACAUCCUCUCCCUAGC
rnacentral:lncRNA from 1 species